AUGCCUGGAAUGGAGGAUUUGGUCAAACUGUUCAAUGUAUGGGAAAUUCAGCUGUUUGUGCUCCUCAGUUUCACACUACAAAUUUUCUUGUUCUUUACUGGCAGCCUUCGACGGCAUAGCUGCAGCAUGCUACUAAGACUCUCCAUUUGGGCAGCUUAUCUCGGGGCAGACUUUGUAGCAGUGUAUACCCUUGGCCUCAUCUCACGACUUGGGGAUAUCACCACUGAAAUGCAUACACCAGGGGAAAUAUCACCACUGGCUUUCUUUUGGGCACCAUUUCUUCUCAUCCAUAUUGGCGGGCAGGACACUAUUACUGCCUUUGCCAUGGAAGACAACAAUUUGUGGUUGAGGCAUUUGCUGAAUCUGGUGGUGCAAUCUGUCUUAGCUAUAUAUGUUUUCUGGAAGUCCAUUGGAAGACACAGCCCGGUGCUUAUAGUGUCUGGUGUCUUUGUGUUUGUUGUUGGAAUUAUCAAGUAUGCGGAAAGAACUUGGUCUCUCAAGAGUGGUUGCUACAAAAUCUUUGAGAGCUCAAGUGGACAUCAUUACAAAAAGUUGCCACACCAUGAUAGCGCAGAGAAGAUGGACAAGGAUGGGUAUGAUAGCAUUGUUUACAUAACUCUGUGUUCAAUGCCACGUGCCCAUAAUAUCAUUUGUGGACACGACAUCUUGUCUAGUGAAGAGGAUAUUGAUCUUGUCUCCUCAUGGUGGUCAAUCGGAGAUGACAGCAAAAAGGUGAUCAAGAUAGUCGGUAUUAUUCUUAGUGUGAUGUAUGCUGAUCUGUACACUAAGGCUCUCGUGGUCAGAACAAGGAGUGCUAUCAUACUUAGAUGCAUCUCUCAGAUGUCCGCUGUUGUUGCUUUCGCUAUGUUCUUUGCAAGUGACAAGCAAAGGUAUAGCAAAACUGACAUUGCAAUCACUUAUUCCCUUUUUUGGGGAGGUUUUUUCCUAGAACUCUGUGCGAUGUUUAUUUUCAUGAUGUCACCCUGGACAUGGGCAUGGCUGAAGGUUCGGAAGUGGGAUAAGCUUGCCAUGCUGUCCUGGCUUAUUUUUUCCAGUGACCUUGGAUGGUCGGAGAAGAAGCAAUGUUUUGUCAGGUCAAUGGGACAGUACAACUAUUCGAGCUGGAUGACUGGCAAUACCCGAGCCAGAACAUUCAGUCAAGGAGUGAUGGCCAUGGUCAAAUGGUUUGCGGGUUUGGUCCAUGUUGAAAAGAAGAAAAUAUUUUGGAUGAGCAAGCUGUUAGACACAGAGUGCGUGGAUGUGGAUGAGUUCACAAUGGAGUGUAUUGCAGGGCAGAUUCGUCUCUUUAGGGAUGUAAACUCCCUUGUAGGCUACAUUAGAUUAAGCAUGCUAUGGAAUAACUUGUUGGCAAGUAUUCCAGAUUUUGGUAUUGGUAUUGUGGCGUUGCAUGUAUUGACUGAGAAACAUUUGAGUGAAGUACAUGAGGCAAACACUGCAGGAGUGGGUAUGAACAUGAUGGAGGUAUGCCGGAAACUAUCCAGAUACAUGAUGUACCUUUUGGCUACCCACCCUUCUAUGCUGCCGCUCAGUGCUAGCCCGGAAGCUAUAUUUCUUAAGGAUCCCAUAGAGCUUGAGUUUAUAGUCCAUGGGGUUCUGGGACUUGUCUUGCCAUCAAACAGGAAAAAAUUGCUCGAGGAGUUAGCUUCCGUGUGGGCGAGGCUCCUUAUUUACGCUGCAGGCAAGUCGAGGCCGGAGAGGCACAUGGAACAACUGAGCACAGGAGGGGAGUUCAUCACCUUCGUCUGGCUGCUCAUGUCCAGCCAUGGCCUCGGAGAUUCACAAUUGAAGAGGAUUGGACUCACCAAUACUAAUCCUCAAGAAAGGAGUCUGCAACAGGUAUACGCCUUCCCUGAUCAUGAAGCAGAUUCACUGGAAGAUGCAGCAAAUUCAUCGGAAGAACCUAGCAGCAGCGAGGGUGAAAUAGGAAGAGUGAGAGAGCGGGGUGAAAUAAACGGAUGA
rnacentral:rRNA from 1 species